rnacentral:rRNA from 1 species
GCAUAUCAAUAAGCGGAGGAAAAGAAACUAACAAGGAUUCCCUUAGUAACGGCGAGUGAAGAGGGAAGAGCUCAAAUUUUAAAUCUAUCAUGUUGUACAUGAUCGAGUUGUAAUUUGAAGAAGCGUUUUCUCGUACUUUAUGAUCAGUAUAAGUUCUCUUGGAACAGGACAUCAUAGAGGGUGAUAAUCCCGUCUGUUACUGAUUGUGAGGUUCGUUUAUGAUACGCUUUCAAAGAGUCGAGUUGUUUGGGAUUGCAGCUCCAAAUGGGUGGUAAACAUCACCUAAGGCUAAAUAUUUGCGAGAGACCGAUAGCGAACAAGUACCGUGAGGGAAAGAUGAAAAGAACUUUGAAAAGAGAGUUAAAAAGUAUGUGAAAUUGUUGAAAGGGAAACGAUUGAAGUCAGUCGUGCAGUCAUCAAUUCAGCGGUUAACAUUUUAUGUUUCCGUGUAAUUUGGUGUCUGUUGGUUAGCAUCAAUUUUGAUUGUUAUAAAAAGGUUAAGGGGAUGUGGCUCCUUCGGGAGUGUUAUAACCCUUAGCGUAAUGUGACGAUUAGGAUUGAGGUUUGCAACGAAUACCUUUUAGGGCAGUUUCACCUGGCCUCUCGUGGAAUUAUAGAUAGUUAAGAGCAUGCUUUUACUGUUUAUGAUUCUACGAAAAGGUUGGAGUGUAAAACUAAUUCGUUAAGGAUGUUGACGUA